ACGGGAGGCAGCAGUGGGGAAUAUUGCACAAUGGGGGAAACCCUGAUGCAGCGACGCCGCGUGAAGGAAGAAGUAUUUCGGUAUGUAAACUUCUAUCAGCAGGGAAGAAACUGACGGUACCUGACUAAGAAGCACCGGCUAAAUACGUGCCAGCAGCCGCGGUAAUACGUAUGGUGCAAGCGUUAUCCGGAUUUACUGGGUGUAAAGGGAGCGUAGACGGCAGGGCAAGUCUGAAGUGAAAGCCCGCGGCUCAACUGCGGGACUGCUUUGGAAACUGUUAAGCUAGAGUGCUGGAGAGGUAAGCGGAAUUCCUAGUGUAGCGGUGAAAUGCGUAGGUAUUAGGAGGAACACCAGUGGCGAAGGCGGCCUACUGGGCUGUAACUGACGCAGAGGCUCGAAAGCGUGGGUAGCAAACAGGAUUAGAUACCCUGGUA
rnacentral:rRNA from 1 species